UGUCAAGGGAUGGGAAUCGAACCCACGACCUUCCGCUUGACCUUCCGCUUACCGGGCAGAUGCCAUGACCACUAGGCUACCCUGGAC